AACGCAUGUUGCACUCUACUCUGUAGAGUAUAUCUGUUUGAGUAUCAUAAAACCCUGUUACAACUGUAACAAUUUGAACUAUCAAGUAUACUUGUCGUUCCAAAUGCAUGAAACAACAGUGUGGUAGAUAUUGCACUCGACUUUCCAUCAAUAAUUGAUCUCAAAUCAGACAAGAGUACCCGCUGAACUUAA
rnacentral:misc_RNA from 1 species